GUUUUUACGAGGCUGGCUGUGUUUGUGUUCCCCGCCCCGAAACAGCAUCAAUGGUAAAGCACUUCAGGAAUGAGACAGAGCCAUGUGCAAGACCUUGCUCUGAAAGGGGUAGCAGAGGGAUCCCGAGCUCAGGCUUGUCCUGCUCAAAGGGAUCCUGUAACCAGCCGGAUCUUGACGUUUUGUGGUCUUUUUUUUUCUCUCUAGCUUUUCAACAAUGGGAGAAAUGGGAUAAAACACCUAAAUUCAGAAGAGUAUGCACUGCUGCAGACCCUGAGCAGACAGGAAUUACCCAUCUGAAUAGAGGGAGAAUAUGACUGAGCGUCUCGUGUGUGAAGAACAUUUUGGGAAGAGGUACACUUAAAGAUUAUUUCUGAACAAGUUUUUCUGACAUCUCAACACUCUGGAAUUUCUGCAGUCGAAUGUGACCUACAGAACCCUGCACUCAAAUCCCUUGAAUCGAUCAUGCUGCACAGAGCAAAGCCUGCUGUAGUGUUGCUGCUAAAGGGAAAAUUGAAGAGUAUGAUAGUGGUGCUCUUUUGCUACCAAGUUCAUCCCUACAAAAUCAUGAGCUAACAUUAAACCACUGAGCUGCUGAUGUUUUCCCAUGACCUCGUUCUGUUGAAUUGCUGCUCUGCUUUCCUGACAAGUCCAUCCGGAUAAAUAACCAUGAUCCAGACUUCUUGCUACUGAAUUAAUAUUUCAGCCACAAGUGACAUAAAAUUUUACUACUGAGCACAGAAGGGCUUGUCCGCUUUAUGCUGGAAGCUUUGCAGCUGUGGGCUUUUUUGGUUUCCUGGUGCUGUGAGUCUGUUCCCAAAUUCACUAGCAGUGUGAGCAAAGCCAGUGAACCCCAGAAGGACCUGGACACGUGAAGAGGAGUAUCUGGGGGAGAAUGACGAUGCUUUGGGAAUCCAAGUGGUGACACAGGGAUAUUAGAGAGGAGAAGACGCUCCUUAAGAUGAAUUUUGGAAAAAAAUGGGAGGACUGG
ensembl:lncRNA